rnacentral:rRNA from 1 species
GAUGAACGCUGGCGGCGUGCCUAAUACAUGCAAGUCGAGCGAACGGACGAGAAGCUUGCUUUUCUGAUGUUAGCGGCGGACGGGUGAGUAACACGUGGAUAACCUACCUAUAAGACUGGGAUAACUUCGGGAAACCGGAGCUAAUACCGGAUAAUAUUUUGAACCGCAUGGUUCAAAAGUGAAAGACGGUCUUGCUGUCACUUAUAGAUGGAUCCGCGCUGCAUUAGCUAGUUGGUAAGGUAACGGCUUACCAAGGCAACGAUGGAUAGCCGACCUGAGAGGGUGAUCGGCCACACUGGAACUGAGACACGGUCCAGACUCCUACGGGAGGCAGCAGUAGGGAAUCUUCCGCAAUGGGCGAAAGCCUGACGGAGCAACGCCGCGUGAGUGAUGAAGGUCUUCGGAUCGUAAAACUCUGUUAUUAGGGAAGAACAUAUGUGUAAGUAACUGUGCACAUCUUGACGGUACCUAAUCAGAAAGCCACGGCUAACUACGUG